rnacentral:rRNA from 1 species
GACGAACGCUGGCGGCGUGCUUAACACAUGCAAGUCGAACGGAAAGGCCCUGCUUUUGUGGGGUGCUCGAGUGGCGAACGGGUGAGUAACAAGUGAGUAACCUGCCCUUGACUUUGGGAUAACUUCAGGAAACUGGGGCUAAUACCGGAUAGGAGCUCCUGCUGCAUGGUGGGGGUUGGAAAGUUUCGGCGGUUGGGGAUGGACUCGCGGCUUAUCAGCUUGUUGGUGGGGUAGUGGCUUACCAAGGCUUUGACGGGUAGCCGGCCGGAGAGGGUGACCGGCCACAUUGGGACUGAGAUACGGCCCAGACUCCUACGGGAGGCAGCAGUGGGGAAUAUUGCACAAUGGGCGGAAGCCUGAUGCAGCAACGCCGCGUGCGGGAUGACGGCCUUCGGGUUGUAAACCGCUUUCGCCUGUGACGAAGCGUGAGUGACGGUAAUGGGUAAAGAAGCACCGGCUAACUACGUG